UACGUAGGUGGCAAGCGUUAUCCGGAAUUAUUGGGCGUAAAGAGCGCGCAGGUGGUUAAUUAAGUCUGAUGUGAAAGCCCACGGCUUAACCGUGGAGGGUCAUUGGAAACUGGUUGACUAGAGUGCAGAAGAGGGAAGUGGAAUUCCAUGUGUAGCGGUGAAAUGCGUAGAGAUAUGGAGGAACACCAGUGGCGAAGGCGGCUUCCUGGUCUGCAACUGACACUGAGGCGCGAAAGCGUGGGGAGCAAACAGG
rnacentral:rRNA from 1 species